rnacentral:lncRNA from 1 species
CCCCUUUAGCUUGGCCAUUUCCUCGCAGCUUAUUAAGGAUCUCAUCUUGAAUGUAAUCUCUAACAUGCCCUCCUCCAUGUAUUUCAUCACGAACACAACAUGAUAAGCUUGUUUUUGAAUCACAACCACUCUUAAUAAUGUCCUCAUUAUAUUCUAGGAUUCUCUUCGCUUCUCUAACAAGCUUUUUACCACAAACAAUGUCAGUUGUGAAAAUAAAAAACGAUACAAUAACAACCUUUAAAAGCUUAAGAUACAUUGUAUAGCUUUUCUUAAUAUUCCACUCGUGACUUGAAACUUUUUAUCAUGACUUCUAUAUAUAUGGAUUUAUAUUUAUAGUUAUUAAAUAUGGUAGUUAAGAUGUAAUUAUGUUAACCAGUUUACGUUUAAAACUAUACAUUAGUACCACUAUUUUAUAUAUUGUACAACUUGUUUGAGUUGACAUAAGUAACAAAUUUAUAUUUGUUUAUAUUUUAUUAAAUAGUUUGAUAUUAUUUCAUUUUAAUUUACCUUUAUACAUACAUAGUAUAUCAUAAUCAUAUCAUUUUGUGUCUCUUCAAAAGCAAAUAUAUGAUUACAAUUGCACUUAAAUGCAAUGACAAAUAAAGAAAACCUAUUUUCUAUUUAAAUAACUUAGUAAUCAAUUUACUAGUAUGAAGUAUUUCAACCUAAAGAUCUUUAUGUUAUUUUGUAAAGAAUCCAACUAUUUAAGUUCAAACGAGAUUAAUGUGUACGUCAUUCUUCUUCCUAACUUCUUUUCCAAUUUACAUUGAAGGAGACUACUCAAUGACACAUUUAUGUCUCAUUUUAUAUUUCAUAUAGAAUACAUAAAUAACAAAUUUAAAAAAUAUGUAUAAUUAUUUUUAUGGAAAAAGAGUGUUUCAAAUUAAAUUGGUAAGCCAUAUAAAAGGUUUAACAGAUUUAAAUAACUUUUACAAAUCUCAUUCUAAUUUACUAUAAUAACAAUUUAAAAUUCAAAGAUUUGGAAAACAAGUUAAUUUUUUUCUAGGACUUACUACCAUAUGGAUCAAAAUGACUAAUUCAAACUAGCAUGGAUAGAAAAUUUCUUUAGUUUUAUAAAUAAGUACUAUAGUAUACAAUGUUACAAAUCCUAUAUAAUAGACAAAUAUAUUACAUUUUAUUUAUGAUUAUCAUAUUAAAAAACUAUGUAACCUUUUCGGGUGCCAAAAACCAUUAUUUAUAGAUAUUUUAGUCCCACAACUAAGAUAAUUUUGUUUUAAUUCAUGAAUCCAAUGUAAAAUGAAUAAUUUACCUUUAGAGCAUCUUCAAUGGCAUAUUUGUAAUAGUGUAUUAUUAGUUGGUCUUUUAAAUGACCACUUAACACUAUUUGAGCAAGCUAAUUUUUUUUUAAUUUUUUUGCGACUCAAUAAUAUCAUAAAUUUUACAUUUAACUCAUUCCACUUUAAAUAUAUUUCAUUUAUAAUUAUUUUAUAAUAAUUUCACUAUUUUUAUUUUAUUUUUAUAACUAAAACAUAAUAAUUUUUCAUAUUUUAGGUAUAUAAAUAAAGGAUUGAUAUAGUUGUGUUUUAUAUAUUAAAAUUAAGAAAUGAUUUGUGUUUAAAAAAUGAUUAAUUAAAUUAGAUGUUCUGUAAAACAUUUUAUGUGGAUGAGGGAAAAGUAGUUAAAUUUAUAGAAAAACUAUUAAAAUAAGGUUAACCAUUGGAGAAGUCAGUUAUUUAGAGGUCAAAAUUAAUAAAUAAUGAGGCGACAAUAACUUUAAGUUAUAACAUGAGUUAACCAUUGGAUAUACUCUUAUAAUUAGCUUAUUUCGUGAGUCACCCUGCUCAAAAUUUUCUUUUCAUCCUUAUCUACAGUGCAUAACACCUACCGCUACACAUGCUUUUCCCCGAUCUUGUACCAUUAACACUUCAACCCUAGUGCAUGGCGUAAUGUUUUGCAUCUAAAAAUGUUUUUUGAAAAAUGGUAUACAUUAGGAUUCAAAGAGCUUUAUAAAGAUCAUUUCGGUCUUACUUUUUUAUGUUGAAACCAGAAAAUAUUCUACACAGUGGCCGAGUCUAGAGCAUAAAACAAUGUGGUUCCCAAAUUAAGUGAAUCCGAUAAAAAUAAAAUAAUCAAUAUUAAUUCUUUCGGGUCGGUGAUAUAUGCAUAUUUAUUCAUGUAUUUUGUACAUAUUUCUAAUACCUUUUCCUAAAAUUAUGUUUAUUUUAGGACAUAAGGCAGUUAUUAUGUUUGAAAUAUGUUUUUUAGUAACAAAGACAUACUCAAGAUGAAAAAGAAGCAAACGAGGAGCUGGAAGCAAGAAAAUGUGAGCUAAGGCAAAAAAAGACAAAGAAGGAUUGAAGAUAGAAGACCACAAUGUGGGCAUCAUUCACCAUGACGUGGUGAAUGGAAGAUUCUCAACAAAUGAGGUAACUUAGAGAAUAUGGGAUAUUCAUGAAGACCACGACCUGUUGCCUUUUAACCGCAUCGUGGUGGUCGGAUUUUUGGAAAGUAUAUAUAAUAUUAAAUCGAUUUCAAGAUGGGGUGGCCUUAGGGAUGUGAUUAUUCACUAGGAAAAACCCUUCCAAGAACCCUUGGAGGGCAUAAUUCAACUAGAUAUCAAAGACUAACAAGACUGGAGCAAGGAUUCGCAUCUACACAUAAAUUUGCUUAGUUUAAUGAUGUUUAGCUUGGUUUACCUUUUGUUUAUGUGUUUUUGAGCUAUAUUUAGGGGCUAAAAGCCCUUGAUUUUAUUUCGAUUAGAUGAUCUCUUAAUUACUACGUGUUGAUUUCUUGUUUUAUGGAUUUAUGAAGUUAGUUUUAGCUUUAAAUAUUGUUUGGUAAAUCUAAAACUAGCAUAUUUAAAUUUCUAUCUUUAUUCCCUUAUCUCAAGAUUGUGUAGUUAAUCUUGAGUUAUUUGCAUGAAAUUGAUUUACCUAGCUAUUUAUAAUCAUUAAAUUAUUAGAGCUAGUGAUUAGUCAUAUCAUAAUAUAGGCGAUAAGUUAGUUGCUUAACUGUGUUAGACAACAAUAUUUGAUCAUAAUAUUUGCUUGAUUACUAGAUUUGAGCAAAGAAUAGUAGUUUAUAUAUUCUAUCAUUCAGUGUCCAAAUUAUAUUUAAAAUCAAUUUAGUGUACUUAAAUUGCAUGAUCAUUGGGGUUAAAUUUAUUGAAUUGACUUAUGCUAGUUAGUCUGAUCAUGAUAACUAGUAACUUUUAUUUGGUAACUAACAAAAAUUAAUCCACCGUCUUGAUAUCAAAUAUAGGAAACACGGGGGAUUCAAAGAUUAACGAAAGCAUCCUUUAUUAUUGAUUUAAAAUCAUCAUUUUAGUUGUUUACUUUAGUAAUUAGUUGAAUAUUUUAAAUAAGUUAAUCUGAACUUGUAAAAUCAGAUAAAACCCCCACUUCUAGUUGUUUUUCUUAGUUUAAUUCUUAGUAGUUAUUUUAUUAAAUAAAUACCAUUCCCUUUGAUCGACACCCGACUUACUUACUAUUGUAUAAUCCGACUAGGUACACUUUGACUUCGGUCACUCAUCAUCCUCGGACGACAUGGAAGAAUAAGAGAAUUAAGAAGGAAAAUACAACACCUCUCAUAUUCUAGAAACAACCACAGUUGGUAAUCAAGAAAAUCCAAUUUUGUUAGCUCAACCAUAGUUGGUAAUCAUGAAAUUUGAUGACGAUGAAGAAUAAGAAAAUCCAAGGAAAAUACAACACCUCUCAUGAAAUUUGACUGAUUAGCUCAACACAUUGUGGAUACUUCGAACCAUAAAUUUGAUGAAAUGCUUUAUCAUCCUAGAUGAAACCUUCGAAAAUCUUAAAGCCUAAGCUCUUACUGCCUAUGACUAUGAUUCGCUUUCCAAGUAAAUCAACAUAAGCUAUUAACGAUUGUUCGAAUGGUUAGAUAGCUUGAAAUUAGAUACGCCACCUACAUUGGAGUCUGGGCCUUCCUAUGUAAGAGGCCGAGAUAAGAUAGUUUAAUGGAAGCGUAUCUCAGAAUUUGAACUCCGAGAUGAAACAACUGAUGAGGAGAUAGUUGAAGUAGAAGAUCUUGAAGAAGAAGUUGAGUUUGAUGAAAAUGGUCUUGUGUAAAAUGAAAUUAUCGGACUACAAUCCCUUAAGGAACAACCAUCCAUCACGAAAGUCCUCUCUGAAGAAGAAAAGAAGAAAUGGUCCUCGGUCAGUUGGCCAUAAACUCUAGCAGAAACGUUUACAAGGAGUCGAGAUAUGGCUAAGUUGAAAACCAAGUUAACCAUCGAUGCUUUUCGAGCUAAUUAGCCAAUGCCUCCUUCAAUUCCUGAUAUGAGGAUUAUUCCAGUUGAUGAAGGUUGGCCCAUCAGGAAACUUAAUGAACUUCCUGAAGAGCCCUUGGUUCCUACUCCAUCCGAGCUGCUUAUCAUUCAAUCCAGUCAUCAAGUUUUAUCCUCCAUGUCUACUAUAGAAGAUCCAAUUAAAGAGAAAGGGAAAAAGAUUGCAACCAAAGCAAACAUCCCAGUUAAGUGGUCGAAAACGUCCGAGGGCUGGUGUUAAGAACAAAUGCAAUAAGCUCUUGAAGAAAGCAUUCACAUUCAAGAGUUGAAUUAUAAUACUAAUCCAAUGUUGGGAAUUUCUCCAUGUUCCAAUAAGGAAUCGUACAUGACAUCAAUUUUCUACUGUUCAUGAGUUUUGAGCUUCCAACCAACGUUUCAGAUCAACUUAACUUACCAAUUUCUCCUCACAGACGCUUUUACGCCAAGUUCAUACCAUUGCAUCCAUCCUAUGAUCCAGAAAUUAUCAUCCGAAUUGAACAUGAGAGAUUGAAUACCUUCUAUUAUACAAACGCACAAACUCAAAAGGAAGUGUGGUCUCAGAACAUAAUUACCAAGUUUGUUGGAUAUGGUAAAAAGGUUCAAAUCAAGUUUGAUAUCAAUUAUCUUCUUUACAGAUACUGUGUGUCUUAGAACAAGGAAUCCACCAUCCUAAUCACUGAUGUAGAUUUUCCUUCAAUUAAUCCCAAUGACAUUCUCAACAUUGAUGGUUACCCGAAAGAUCGACAAUCAAAUUAAUCUAGCAUCGGAGCUUUCAACACUACUAUCAGCUUCCUGAAGAACUACAUAGUUGAAUACUGUUGAUACGAUGUGGAAUUUACUCAAUUAUUCAGGACUGGGAAUCUACUGGCGAAGAUUAGCACUGAGCUUUUAGAAGCAUAAACCUUGGAUGAAGGCCAUAUUCAAGAACCGGAACUCGAAUUUGUCUAUCUUAAGAAAGAGACAAAUAGAAAAUAAUUCUUCUAAGUUCUAGAAAAACAUCUUUCUCCAACCAAGAUUACUCAAAAGUUCAUCACUAAUGCCAUCAAGAGUGAUUCCCUUAUAUACAUCAAAAAAAAAUUUAUUGAGCAUCUUCUAUGGUAUAUCGAGGUUCGAAGCUGGCUCCAUGGUGCUUAUCUGUAUGUCUUCGUUGAAGCCAAGUGAUUUGUAUUGUCACUUAGGAUGAGAUGGUUAGAACAUGAAAAAGUGAUCGUUAUUAAAUUCGAGAUGCAAUUUUCCGAGAGUAAGAUUGAGUCCGAAGUGAAGUAGUUUCAAAGUGAAGACUUGUCCGAGAUCAAUCAUUGUUUGAAAGUAUUUUGUGUCUGUAAUGCAUUAAUUGUGUCAUGUACUAUUUUGUAUUGUUCAUAAUAUCUUUUACUAUAGUACAAAAGACAAGAUCAAUAAUAACGGAUGUGUCAACAUUUGUUCCAGAUAGAGAAGUGUGCACCUUUUUUAUUCCAUUAAUCAAAGAAUCAUUCAGUCAAUCAUUAUCUCUUAAACUCUUCUUGUUCUUCUUGCUUUGUAUUAGUCAUACUUAUUGUUUCUCUUUAUUGAGCACAUUGUUGAGUUUGUCUAAUACGAGAUAAAAUUGGUUUACCAGACUUGACCGAAACUAUAUUACAAGCAAUCAUUGAUCUUAAGUUAAUUCAAGGUUUGAGUUUUCAAACCUUUUCUGUGCAAAACCCUUUCUUUCACAAGGAUAUGAAUUGAACGAAGAUGAGGUUUAAAAGGAUGUUCAAGAUGGUGACUUUCAGACGUUCCUUUCUAAUGAGGAAUCUAGUGCUUUGUAGUUAUCUGUCACCAAGAAAGCAAAGAAGAAGAAGAAGGUUACGAUAUCAAGGAAAUAAUUUCUUGAGUUAGAUGAUAGAGUAGAUCAAAUCUUGAGCGCAGUCAUAAAUCUACUACGUCCUUUACCGCAGAUCACAAUUCCUCCCAACAUUGAAGACACCUCUCAAAGAGUCAUAGAUAUUGAAGCAAGGGAGAGAGUACCAGAUCAAAGAGUUAUAAUUUGCAAUCAGUUGGGAUUACGAGUUAUGGAUGAGUCCAUGAAGAGAGAUCAGGUUGCAUUCAUGAAGAUUGUGGUUAAGCAGAUGAAAUAAUUUAAAGAGAUGUUGGGAGCAGAUUCUCUAGACCUUGAAAAAAUUUAGAUACUUACUUGAUGAGACCCACAACACAUACAAUUUGGGAUACAGAGAACUCCAAUAUAACAUCAUGUAAAUGCAAAAAAACAAAUUGGUUUAAUUUUAGGCACUCUCAAAGGUUGUCUAUGAAGCUGCAACAUUGUUGAAUACUCUGAAAAAAACUCGAGAUGAAAUCAUUCAAGUUUCCAAGGAUAUUCUCGAUCACAUGAAGAAUCCAUUCAUCAUCACAAAUAAAGAUGUACACUUAAAUACCCAGAUUGGCUUGAUAAAAGUGAUUAAAAGCCUUUAGGAGUUAAAGGAUGGUGAGUUUGCAGAGAAGCCGUGGCCUUCAUCUGCAAAAAGGGAAAAGGUCAGCGAGGUUGAGGAGACACCAAUAAAUAAAGACAAUUGACCUCCACCACAAAGUGAAUCCCCUCUGAGGUCCAUGUCCAAAUCAAAGUCUUCCUUUGGAAUGAGUGAUGAUGAAAAUGAAGAAAGCUCCACUGAUGAAUCUCCCAAGUCUCAUCCCUGAAGAACUCCAACCUCUCCCCAGAAAACUCCACCUCCUUAAUCUGCCAAGAAAACCUCUCCUCAAAAGGUAGUGACUCCAAAACCAUCAUUGUCCGACGAGAAGUCAUUUAAUUCUCCUGCCAAUACACAAAGGAAAGUUAACUGGAGGGCAGCCAAGUUUGGUGAUGAUAUUUGGAAAACUCAUGGCUUUGGCAUUUGCAUAGACGAAUCCCUUAUCAACUCAUGGGUAAAUCCUAUCUUCAAACUCAUCGAUGAAGAUUAUGCUCCUCCUAUAACUUUCACAAAUCCUGGAGAUGAAAUGUACUGGGAUAUCCUUAUAUCCUGCAACUACCAAUUAUUCCAUGUUUUUGAAGAAUUUUAUCUCAGAAUUCCUACCUCCAUAAGAAUUAAAAUGGAUUUUGAAAUAUGGUAUCAAUUCUACAACAAACACGAAAACAGGAAUUAAAGACAUCUGGCCAAAUGUCAGACAGGAGGGAGUCAACACAUUAAAAUCUGGAUCAUGAAAAAAUGCUCAUUUGCAAAGGUAUUGAUUAUAAUAAACUCAAGCCAACUUCAUUAACAUGAUGAAACCAAUAUAUGCCAAAGCUUUUGAUUUCCUUAGAUCACUUGUUUAUGAUUUUGAAACUAUUGAUUUCAAGAUUCACCCCAUGCUCGUCAAUAGAGUGAAUCUACCUUCUCUUGAAUAAGCCAUGGUGAGAGUUGAAGGAAUCCUAGAAAUAAACUGUGUAGCCACAGACUAUCCACAAGUUGGCAUUAUCUUUCGUCUUGGAAAAAAGACUACGAAGAAUCUUCUCCCCAUAAGUGCUCUCCAUUGUUGUACAAACAAGUUACUAGAUGAAGUAAUUCGAUUCGUCAACAAAUCCUAGUACAACAAUAAAGAAGUGAAAGAACAAUUACAAUAAAGGAUUACAUGGUUGGUUUUUGUAAGGAAAUUUUGUAGGUGAAACAACCAAAUUUUUAUGACAUUGAGUGUUUCGUGAUGUUUGUAGGGACACACAUGGAAAGCAUGGCCACCUAUUCUCCAUACCUUUUUGUAUUAUCCCGUCAAUAGCUAGUACCUUGUUUCACCAUGAAUAGAUGGUGUGAUUUAGUAUUUAAAAGUGUGUCUAAACUUCAUUUCUUCCUUGUAGUCAAUUUAUAUGAAAUACAAAGCCUCCUUAUCCCUAUUUAUGCUUUUGUUUUCUUUAUUUACUAACUUAUUGUUUGCAUCCAAACCUAGUUACAAUUCAACAAGGCUUCAUAUAUCUUGCUAAUAUUUAUUUAGUUAUGUUGAUGUUAUGUUUCCAAUAUCAACUUUUCAUAUAAUUCCAAACUUAUUUAUUUUUUAGCUAACCAAAAGAUCCAUGAGAUUAACUUUAAAUCCACAUCAUAAUCUCCAUGACUAAGUUCUUCUCUCAACACUUCCUCAUUGCCGUGCUAAUCUCAACCACUAGAGAUUCAUAGAUAAAUAUUUCACUUUCUUGUUAAAUGACUAAGAGAUACACCUUAUCUUGGGUUUCUAGACAAAUAGAUAAUUAUGUAGUGUUUAAUUAAAUUCGACUAAUUGAAAAUCUAGUACAUUGCUUUAAUAGUUUCUUAUUAAACUACUAAACUAUUAAUAAAUAAGAAACUAUCACAUAUUUAUUAUUCUCGCUAUUUUAGAUUGCAGAUUGUGUGCAAUGCAAUAUGCAUAUGUCUUAUUAGUAAUAUAACUAACGUAUUAUGUAAAUCGACAUUUCUAUUACAAUGAUAUNNNNNNNNAACAUCGAUGUGUUUAUUGAUUGAAUUACGUUUGUAUAGUACACAAUGGGAUAAUACAUGCAUAUCUUAUAUAGAUUCAAACAACGCAUAAUUUAUUAUAAUUAGAUAUGCGUUUUAUGAUGUUUUAUCAUUUAUUAUGAUAGACGUUGCAUUUGACUUUAUAGUAGAUUAUUUUCCACCACCACCGCCUCCUCCUCCUCCUCCACCACCACCACCACCUCCUCCUCCGCCUCCACCUUCAGAUCCGCCUCCACCUCCUCCACCACCUCCACCUUCAUCUUGGUUGUCAGACAUUCCAUUAGAAUACACUUGAGUGUUAGGAUAUUGAUUGGCAAAUUGUUGACCGGUAUUAGUUGCCGUGCUAAGUGUAGCAUCGUAGAUUGAAUUAGUUGACAUUUUUCUUAUAUUAAUUUCGUUGAUCGUGGUUCCAUUCGUCGAUUGACUAUCAUCAUCCAUAUUUAUUGUUAUACUUCCUUUUGACAUUUCUUCCCCAUUAACUUGGACCUUUCCUCGCAUCUUUUUGAGGAUCUCAUCUUGAAUGUAAUCUCUAACAUGCCCUCCUCCGUGCAUUUCAUCACGAACACGACAUGAUAAACUUGUUUUUGAAUCACAACCACUCUUAAUAAUGUCCUCACUAUAUUCUAGGAUUUUCUUCGCUUCUCCAACAAGCUUUUUACCACAAACAAUGUCAGUUGUGAAAAUAAAAAACGAUACAAUAACAACCUUUAAAAGCUUAAGAUACAUUGUGUAGCUUUUCUUAAUAUUCCACUCGUGACUUGAAACUUUUUAUCAU